GACGUAGGUGCGAGCGUUGUCCGGAUUAUUGGCGUAAGAGCUCGUAGGCGCUCGUCGCGUCGACCGUGAAACCGCGCUACUGCGGCUGCGUUGAUACGCGCUAGAGUCGUAGGGAGACUGAAUCUGUGUAGCGUGAAUGCGCAGAUAUCAGAGACACGUGCGAGCGGUCUCUGGCGAUACUGACGCUGAGAGCGAAAGCGUGGG
rnacentral:rRNA from 1 species